CCUACGGGUGGCAGCAGUCGAGAAUCAUUCACAAUGGGGGAAACCCUGAUGGUGCGACGCCGCGUGGGGGAAUGAAGGUCUUCGGAUUGUAAACCCCUGUCAUGUGGGAGCAAAUUAAAAAGAUAGUAUCACAAGAGGAAGAGACGGCUAACUCUGUGCCAGCAGCCGCGGUAAUACAGAGGUCUCAAGCGUUGUUCGGAAUCACUGGGCGUAUAGCGUGCGUUGGCUGUUUCGUAAGUCGUGGGGGAAAGGCGCGGGCUCAACCCGAGGACGGCACAUGAUACUGCGAGACUAGAGUAAUGGAGGGGUAACCGGAAUUCUCGGUGUAGCAGUGAAAUGCGUAGAUAUCGGGAGGAACACUCGUGGCGAAGGCGGGUUCCUGGACAUUAACUGACGCUGAGGCACGAAGGCCAGGGGAGCGAAAGGGAUUAGAUACCCGGGUAGUC
rnacentral:rRNA from 1 species